ensembl:lncRNA
UGAGUGGCCGCCGGCAACGGCCAGCGCCCGGGCUGCAGCCUCGCAUCUUUCUGGCAAGUGGCAGGUAGUCCCAGUAACUGGCCCCGGGGCUGAAGGGGCCGCGCUCGCCCGGCUGAGACCCCCAGUGGUGAUGAUGGUGUUGGGAGACCCAGCGUGCGCUUCCCCCUUGAGUUCCUGGAUUCAUUCCCUGAUCUUGACUCAAAAGCACCUACAACAGCAAAACUUUUGUAAUAACAAACUUAACAUUUGCAUGUAUGGAGAACUGGAAAUCAUUUAUUUCCCUAACUUAUUCCCCUUUCAAAUAACAGAUGUCGGAUCCUAAACCGAAGUUCUUUAUUGUAUCUACACAGCCCACAUUCUUUACUGUGUCCUCCUACUGUAUCUUGGCUCUCUGCUGUAUUAAAUACCAUCCUAAGCAUCUGUUCGAACAGGACUCCUUCUUGACAUUUUGUCUUCUACCUGUCACUCAGAGGGUGGGACUUUAGCAAAAGAAAUGAAUGGUCUCUCACACCUAAUACUGAGAUUUAUUUCCUCUGAUGGCACAUAAUCUGAUUUUGCUCUUACUAAGAGGGUCACUAUAACAGAGGCUUAGCUUGAUACUUGCUGAGACUAGAUUAGCAAUAAAAAUAAGAGUUUGGCAGCCAAAGUAGCACUCAUCACUAUAUUGGUCUAUUAAGGAUUGGGUUGAUGAUGAUACUUCUACAAAUUCACAAUAGAAAAACACUAGUUACAAAGGGAACUUGAAAGAUCUGUAUAUUACUUAUAUUACUCCUGAAAUAUUUGUUAUCUGUUGGUCAAUGUUAAUAAUAACCAGUGGCAGAAUAAUUCUAAUUGUAGUGCAGUAUAUGAAGAGGCUAUUGUCAAGAUACUGUCUAAUAGUUUUAUACUGGAAAACGUGUCUAUUUUUAGGACGUUCUCAAUGGGAAUGACACCAAGAAGGUGGAAGGUCUCUUGGAAGAUGGUACCGGUAGACUUGAUUUUUAUUAUGAGUAGAUAUAAUAUCUUUGGAUGUUAUCAGAGUUAUAGAAACUAAGCCAAAAGCCUCCUGAUGUUUUAAUAGAAGUCAGGGAUUUAGUCUGGGUUUUCGUUAUCCUCAAGAGAACAGAGCUUCAUAGUAACUUUCAUGAUGUUGAGUGUGGCCUUGCUGGUGGUCGGUCCCAUCAGUGAUGUGGUGUAGAAGAAAACUAUCCACAGACCCCCCAUUCUUUCUCACUUUCAGAAGGUGAUUCUGAAAAGCAAACUACUAAAAAAAAGAUGAAUAUUUUUACUUCAAGGAGUGCUUUGCUACACAUUUGGUAAUUAAGAAAAAAAAGGAGGUGGAAUGGGGAGAAGGGAGGCAAGGCUUACUUUAAACAAAACCAGUCCUGAAACACUGUUAUUCUCAAAGUAUAUCUUUGUAUAUAAAAAAAAAAUUCUGUAGAAGUUACAUGUAUUGCAUUUCUUUUUUAAAAAAUUAAAAGUAUAUUAAUGAGCCAAAUAGAUACAAAGUUCCUCAGUAUUUAAAAAUUUAAAUGCCUGUCAUGACUGUAUUUUAUUAAAUGAAGCAGUACCAUCAAGUCACUGAAAGUUAUAAAACACUUGUGCCAG